rnacentral:siRNA from 1 species
AGGAGUCCUAUACGGUCCCCAGAC